AUUGAACGCUGGCGGCAUGCCUUACACAUGCAAGUCGAACGGUAACAGGUUAAGCUGACGAGUGGCGAACGGGUGAGUAAUGUAUCGGAACGUGCCCAGUCGUGGGGGAUAACUGCUCGAAAGAGCAGCUAAUACCGCAUACGACCUGAGGGUGAAAGCGGGGGAUCACAAGACCUCGCGCGAUUGGAGCGGCCGAUAUCAGAUUAGGUAGUUGGUGGGGUAAAGGCCACCAAGCCUACGAUCUGUAGCUGGUCUGAGAGGAUGACCAGCCACACUGGGACUGAGACACGGCCCAGACUCCUACGGGAGGCAGCAGUGGGGAAUUUUGGACAAUGGACGCAAGUCUGAUCCAGCCAUGCCGCGUGCGGGAAGAAGGCCUUCGGGUUGUAAACCGCUUUUGUCAGGGAAGAAAAGGUUCUGGUUAAUACCUGGGACUCAUGACGGUACCUGAAGAAUAAGCACCGGCUAACUACGUGCCAGCAGCCGCAGUAAGAC
rnacentral:rRNA from 1 species